ACUGCACUGGACCUGUGGAGGCCUGUCCCCGAGCUCUAAAUUCCUUGCAGCUUCAAGCAAGUUAAGGACGGCACUGAGAGACUGAAACGAAAACACCGACAGGAUGGGGCCUGCUCUUAGCCAUGGGGUUUGGUGCAUAGUAGGCAUUCAGAAAAUAUCUGUUGAAAACAAACAUCGAGGAUCCUAUUAAUUCCAGGUAGCUCUCUUGACCUGUGCCUGCUGCACAGAGCAUGGAAUGCAGCCAGUGGCAGCCAGCGGGCUGUUUUCUGAACUGAUUUACUUUCAUAAGAAGAAACAUCUAUGUGGACUUGAGGACAGCCUACAGAAAAAUCUAACUGCCCUGUUGUCAUUGGUGAGACUACUGGUUAUGGGCCAUGGUGGCAGACAACAGAAUGCACUCUAGUUACUUUAAGAAUAAAGUGAUUUAUCAGAUGGUGUGAUAAAUCUGACAGAACCUCAGCGAGGUGCAGAGAACAAGAUUUGAUUGCUACAAGAUUAGAAACAACAACAAUCAAGUGGGUGCCCAACCAUCCCUGGAACCAUUCUACUGGAAAAACACUGGCGUUGCUAUCACCUACUGCUCAGGACCUAAGCUUCAGGGAACAAGACUUCAGAAACUGCCCAACUGACCCAGGAGCCAGCAUGACUACCAUCUUUCUUGCAAAGGCUUCCAAUCCCCUAAGCACGGCCACCGCCUCACAUUAUUACAUCCUUCUCAUCUCACGUGGGCAUCUGCUUGGCAGAAUCUAAUCCACACCCCAAAUCCUGGCUUGUGCAGGUGGUUUUUUUAGUUUUCUAGUAUCUGUUGUACUGGAAGCCUCACUAAAAAAAAAUUAGAAAUGGGAGUUGAGUGAGCCAAUGAAAAAUUUGCUGCGUUAAACAAGUUUAGUUCUGGGUGGAACAUCCCCACCCACAACCCCAGGUCUAGAAGACCUUCAUCCAUGGGGGCUUCACUGUGCAAGAGUGCGUCUUCCAUCAAACCACUGAUUUUUUGGAACUCUGUACCAAAGAAGAAUAUAUUUUUUUAAAAAGUCCCAAUCCCUUCUUGCAUACUCUAAAGCUCCUCCUGCCUGCAUCUCCCUCCCACAGAAAUUUAUUUUCUCAAAUGAAACAUGUCACCAACAAUCUCUCCACAAACCCUUCACACUGCAGUCCCCCACACCCACCAGUGUUUUGAGAGUUUUAGUCUCUGGCAAAUAUGUGAGGAGAAAAAGAAGAGAGAAAUUCUGACUACCGACACGGUACAGGACCUGCUACACAAUUUCUGGGCUGGUAUAGAUCCUGGUGCAUGAGCUUGGAACAGAAUUAAUGCAGAGAUAGUUUUGGACAAACCAAUUGACCUGUUUGAAGGCACUUGGUCCAAGUCACUUCUAAGCAGAAUUCUAGAGGUAAUGUCCUAUGAUUUUAUAAAACUACAAAGUCAUUUGUUUAUAUAUUAAAAGAGUGUUUCUUUUCCUUGACAAAAAUGAUGCAUGGCUUUUCACAAAUGGUUCUAGAACAACUGGAUAUCUACAUGCAAAAGAAUAAAGCUGGAACCUUAACUUACAACACACACAAAAAUUAAGUCCAAAUAAGCCUAAGUGUAAGAGCCAAAAGUGUAAGACAAAAUAUGAGAUACGUAAAUGGUCAAUAAGCACAUGAAAAGGUGCUCAAUGUCAUUCUUCUUUCAAAAAUGCAAAAUAAAACCAGUGUGUGAUACACUCACACCCACUAGGAUGGCUAAAGUAAAAAACAAAAAAAACAAAAAAUGAGACAAUAACAGGUGUUGGCAAGGGUGGAGAGAAACUGGAACCAUCGUUCAUUGCUGGUGGGAAUUUAAAAUAAUACAACUGCUUUAGAAAAUGGUUUGGCAGUUUUUCAAAAAGUUAAACAUAAAGAUACUGUAUUACCCAUAAAUUCCACUCCAUGAGUAUUGAAAACAUAUGCCUGCACACACAAAAAAAUGUACACAAAUGUUUAUAGCAGCAUUAUUUAUAAUUGCCAAAGAGUGGAAAAGCCCAAAUAUGCACCAGCUGAUGAAUGGAUAAACAAAAUGUGGCAUACCAUUCACUGUAAAAAGAAAUAAAGUACUGAUACAUGCUGAACAUGGAUAAAUCUUGAAAACAGUGUGUUAAGUGAAAGGAACCAGUCACAAAAUACCACAUAUUGUAUGAUUUCAUUUAUAUUAUAUGUCCAUAAUAGGCAAGUCCAUCAAGAGAGAAAUUAGUGGUUGCCAGGGACUUAGAGGAUAGAGGUGGAGAGAUUGCUAAUGGGUGCAGUUUUUCUUUUUGGGGUGAUAAAAAUGUUCUAAAAUGAAAGAAUGCUGAAUUGCACAACUCUGUGAGUAUACUAAAAAGCACAGAUUUGUACACUUUAAAAAGGCAAAUUUCGUGGUAUGGAAAUUAUAUCUCAAUAAAGCUGUAAUUUAAAAAAGUAA